UACGGGGGGGGGUAAGCGUUGUUCGGAAUUACUGGGCGUAAAGGGCUCGUAGGCGGCCAACUAAGUCGGACGUGAAAUCCCUCAGCUUAACUGGGGAACUGCGUCCGAUACUGGAUGGCUUGGAUUUGGGAGAGGGAUGCGGAAUUCCAGGUGUAGCGGUGAAAUGCGUAGAUAUCUGGAGGAACACCGGUGGCGAAGGCGGCAUCCUGGACCAAUAUUGACGCUGAGGCGCGAAAGCGUGGGGAGCAAACAGG
rnacentral:rRNA from 1 species